GAUGAACGCUGGCGGCGUGCCUAAUACAUCCAAGUCGAGCGAACAGACGAGGAUCUUGCUCCUCUGACGUUAGCGGCGGACGGGGGAGUAACACGUGGAUAACCUACCUAUAAGACUUGGAUAACUUCGUGAAACCGGAGCUAAUACCGGAUAAUAUAUUGAACCGCAUGGUUCAAUAGUGAAAGACGGUUUUGCUGUCACUUAUAGAUGGAUCCGAGCCGCAUUGGCUAGUUGGUAAGGUAACGGCUUACCAACGCAACGGUGCGUAGCCCACCUGAAAGGGUGGCCGGGCAGACUGGAACAGAGAGACGUUAGCGACACCAACGGGAGGCACAAGUAGGGACUCUUACGCGAUGGGGGAAAGCCGAAUAGAGCAACGACGCGUGAGUGCUGAAGGUCUUCGGCUCGUAAAACUAUGUUAUUCAGGAAGAACAAAUGUGUAAUUAUAUAUGCACGUCUUGACGGUACCUAAUCAGAAAGCCACGGCUAACUCCGUG
rnacentral:rRNA from 1 species